UACGAAGGGGGCUAGCGUUGCUCGGAAUCACUGGGCGUAAAGGGUGCGUAGGCGGGUCUUUAAGUCAGGGGUGAAAUCCUGGAGCUCAACUCCAGAACCUGCCUUUGAUACUGAAGAUCUUGAGUUCGGGAGAGGUGAGUGGAACUGCGAGUGUAGAGGUGAAAUUCGUAGAUAUUCGCAAGAACACCAGUGGCGAAGGCGGCUCACUGGCCCGAUACUGACGCUGAGGCACGAAAGCGUGGGGAGCAAACAGGG
rnacentral:rRNA from 1 species